UACGUAGGGGCCUAGCGUUGUCCGGAUUUAUUGGGCGUAAAGAGCUCGUAGGCGGUUCGGUAAGUCAGCUGUGAAAUCUCCACGCUCAACGUGGAGGGGUCAGCUGAUACUGCCGUGACUUGAGUCCGGUAGGGGAGUGCGGAAUUCCCGGUGUAGCGGUGAAAUGCGCAGAUAUCGGGAGGAACACCAGUGGCGAAGGCGGCGACCUGGGUAGAUACUGACGCUGAGGUGCGAAAGCGUGGGGAGCAAACAGG
rnacentral:rRNA from 1 species